rnacentral:rRNA from 1 species
AUUGAACGCUGGCGGCAUGCCUUACACAUGCAAGUCGAACGGUAACGGGUCCUUCGGGAUGCCGACGAGUGGCGAACGGGUGAGUAAUAUAUCGGAACGUGCCCAGUAGUGGGGGAUAACUGCUCGAAAGAGCAGCUAAUACCGCAUACGACCUGAGGGUGAAAGGGGGGGAUCGCAAGACCUCUCGCUAUUGGAGCGGCCGAUAUCAGAUUAGCUAGUUGGUGGGGUAAAGGCCUACCAAGGCAACGAUCUGUAGUUGGUCUGAGAGGACGACCAGCCACACUGGGACUGAGACACGGCCCAGACUCCUACGGGAGGCAGCAGUGGGGAAUUUUGGACAAUGGGCGCAAGCCUGAUCCAGCAAUGCCGCGUGCAGGAAGAAGGCCUUCGGGUUGUAAACUGCUUUUGACAGGGAAGAAAUCUUCUGGGCUAAUACCCCGGGAGGAUGACGGUACCUGAAGAAUAAGCACCGGCUAACUACGUG